AUUGAACGCUGGCGGCAUGCCUUACACAUGCAAGUCGAACGGUAACAGGUCUUCGGAUGCUGACGAGUGGCGAACGGGUGAGUAAUACAUCGGAACGUGCCCGAUUGUGGGGGAUAACGGAGCGAAAGCUUUGCUAAUACCGCAUACGAUCUACGGAUGAAAGCAGGGGACCGCAAGGCCUUGCGCGGACGGAGCGGCCGAUGGCAGAUUAGGUAGUUGAUGGGAUAAAAGCUUACCAAGCCGACGAUCUGUAGCUGGUCUGAGAGGAAGACCAGCCACACUGGGACUGAGAAACGGCCCAGACUCCUACGGGAGGCAGCAGUGGGGAAUUUUGGACAAUGGGCGCAAGCCUGAUCCAGCCAUGCCGCGUGCAGGAUGAAGGCCUUCGGGUUGUAAACUGCUUUUGUACGGAACGAAAAGACUCUUUCUAAUAAAGAGGGUCCAUGACGGUACCGUAAGAAUAAGCACCGGCUAACUACGUGCCAGCCGCCGCGGUAACAC
rnacentral:rRNA from 1 species